UACGAAGGGUGCAAACGUUGCUCGGAAUUAUUGGGCGUAAAGCGCACGUAGGCGGCUUUGCAAGUCCCAUGUGAAAUCCCACGGCUCAACCGUGGAAGUGCAUGGGAAACUGCAGAGCUUGAGUACUUAAGAGGAUCGCGGAAUUCCCGGUGUAGAGGUGAAAAUUCGUAGAUAUCGGGAGGAACACCAGUGGCGAAGGCGGCGAUCUGGGAAGAUACGUGACGCUGAGGUGCGAAAGCGUGGGGAGCA
rnacentral:rRNA from 1 species